rnacentral:rRNA from 1 species
CGAACGGGUGAGUAACGCGUGAGGAACCUGCCUCAAAGAGGGGGACAACAGUUGGAAACGACUGCUAAUACCGCAUAAGCCCACGGCUCGGCAUCGAGCAGAGGGAAAAGGAGCAAUCCGCUUUGAGAUGGCCUCGCGUCCGAUUAGCUAGUUGGUGAGGUAACGGCCCACCAAGGCGACGAUCGGUAGCCGGACUGAGAGGUUGAACGGCCACAUUGGGACUGAGACACGGCCCAA